ensembl:lncRNA
GGCCAGGAUAUUUAGAAGGAAAAAAAAUCAUGCAGACCCUGCAAAUUUAGCAGCAGAGACUUGAUCUUUGAUGACGAGCUUGUAGAUGCUUUUGACAACAAUGUGUUCUCCAAAGCAUACUCCUGUCAUGAAAUACAGUGUCUUCACCAGUUUCAAGAAGAUAGGAACCAAAAAUAGUCCGUAUUGGAGUGGAUGACCUCCAAGUACCGCUGGAUUUGUGAGACAGAAAGUAGAUGGCAUUACUGCUGAUGCGAAAGAGAAGUCUAAUUUGUAGCCCAGCAGGAUCCCAAAAUAUGUUCAAAAUAUUAUUUAUGACUGAAAAUUAAAAAUUAAGAGUAAAGGCAGAUUUUACUGUUUACUUAGCCAAGUCAUAAAAUAUACAAGCAAAGCAAAUAUAAACAACAGCAAAACAAACUGAGCUAAGGCAUGCUUACAGCUAGCCUAAUCAUCUUAAAACUCCAAAUAUUAUCUCAUGACAGAUGGCUGCUGGAGUCUACAAAGGGCUACUCCAAAUUCUCUUCCCCAUUCCAUAAAGACCACCCCUAUUGAGGACAUUUCCAUCCAAAUGCAUUAUUAUAUAUCCUGUCUUGAAACAGAAGAUUUCAUUUCCUUGCCGCUAUUUGGUGAGUCUUGUGCUGGAAAAGGGCCUAUCACCUACCUUCCUCUGGACCAGCUUUUGCAGAUGAAUUACUCUCUACCAUGGUCUUAGAAGGAGCAGUCAAGAAUGCCUCCCUUCCUUACCAUGCUGGCCUGGGCUGUUCAUGCCAGACUGCUUGCUCUGCUCUGUGAUCUGCAGAGGACUUUCAAGCACAACCUGGAGACAGAGUGUGGGCAGGGGGCCACAGAGCUCAGCUGCAGCUGAGAAGGGGUUUUCCCUUCUGGUCCUCUGCCAGUGCCAAGGAAGCCAAGAGAAGAUGAGACCAUGCUUCUGCAAAUGCAAAUAAAGAGACCUGCAGGGCUCAGGGCAUUCAGCACUGAGUGGAAGUGUGCAGCCAGCAUUUCCCAGCCUUCUGAAGUCCUCCAUAGGAAACCUCCAGUCUUCCUCCAUGCGCUGGAGAUAGAUGCUGCUAACUCAGUUUGGUGAGAACGACCAAUACAACUGCUCCCACUUGCUCCGGUGUCACAUCAAUCUAUAAGAAGCCAAAAGGAUGUCUGCAACCAGCAAGCCAGAAAGAAAGCUGUAUUGUUUUUCACAAUGAAUGGCAUUAACUCCUUUUCUUCCAUACAAAUAUACUCUGAAUACUUUGCUUGUUGCCUAAAUUCUUGAUCAUAGAAUCACCGAAUCAUUUGAAAUGGAAAGGACCCUUACAGGUCAUCUAGUCCAGCUCCCCUGCAAUGAACAGCAUUCAUCUGCAAUGAAUAGGGAUGUUGAUGUCGAAGAGUGGAACAGCUGAAAACUUUCUAAAUGUCUAUUCACUUCGUCUGUAGAUCUUUUAACCUUAAAUAAUUGCAUAGGUCAUAUUACGUAAAUAGUAUAAGAUAAUAUUAGAAAUAAAUUAAGAUCACAGUAUAGAUAGCAUAGUAGAAAACAAAUCCAAAUUACAGAUUUCUCCAUUAUUGAAAUAUACCGAGUAAGAUGAUCAGAAAACAUUUAAGAUUCAGAAGUUGAAAUAAGCAAUAAUAAGUUGAACAAUCAAUCUGAUCGAACACAGUCAAAAGCUAUACGCUCUGUGAUCUCAGGUAGAAGAAUUUUGUAUUAGAAAUUAGAAAUAAAUACAUCUGCUUUAUGGAGAUAAAGGUAAUUCAGCAUUAGAUUUUUCUGUAUACAGGGAAUAUAAAUUUUUAUCUUUGGUGAACUAGUAAAAGAAGAGUUGAACUCAUUGCUACUGUUUAAUUUUGCUUCUGUACAUAAGGGACCUUCAGCAGUUACCCAGAGAGAACCGUGAGGUGGAAUGAGAACUGUUUGGCUGGUAGAGCUCAGAGGGUUGUCAUCAGUGUGGCAGUCUGGUUGGAGGCCUGUAACUAGUGGUCUUCCUCAGGGGUUGGUAUGGGAUCUGGUCUUGUUCAACGUCUUCAUCUUCAUUCAUGACCUGAAUGAAGGGAGAGAGUCCACCCUCAGCAAGUUUGCUGAUGAUACAAAGCUGGGAAUAGCGACUGACAUGGGGACCUUAUCAAUGCUAAUAAAUAUCUAAAGGGUAGGACUCAAGUGGAUUGGUCCGAGUUCUUUUCAGUGGUACCCAGCAACACUACAAGGGGCAAUGGGCACAAACUGGAACACAGGAGGUUCCAUACAAACACAAGGAAGAAGUUCUUUAUUGUGCAGGUUACAGCACUGGAACAGGCUGCCAAGAGAGGCUGUGAAGUCUUCUCUGAGGUAUUCAAGACCCAGCUGGAUGUUUUCCUGGGCAACCUACUGUAGGGAACCUGCUUUAGCAGGAGGUUGGACUAGAGGAUCUCCAGAGGUCCCAUACAACCCCUACAAUUCUGUGAUUCUGUGAAAACAGAGAUCUUUGCAUUUUGUGAGCCAAAAAAAGGAACUGAAGACCACAAUUGCUCAUCAGAGGAACCACAUACAUGCCAGAUGUGCUUUUACCCCACUGUGAUUGUGAACUAAAAUGUUUGUUUAAAGACUAUAUUUUUAUAGAUAUUAUUGUGCUCAGAGGCAAAUGUAGCCAUGGUAAAUGUACAUUCCCAGCAUAACCCUCUCCAUGAGGGGCCAGGUAAAAAUUCAUAGAUGCAUUUAAAUGGGUUGUAUUGGGAUCACUCAGUCGUCAUCAGAGAAAGAUGAAGGAAUCUCCAAGGACACUUCUUUCCCUACCUUUCAGGAUGGAAUUAAACAACUUUCUGACAUAUCUAUUUCCCUAUAGGGAGCAUAUAGCUGUGGAUGUCAGACAUACAUCACUUAGUCAGCUGAAGUAGAAAGAAUUCCACCCUAAAACAUUAAAGCAAUGAAUUCCUUUUUCUAUAAAUUACAACAAAGUAAAAUUAUGUCUAGCCUCUGUCUUUGUUAAGAGCUUGACAUACAGCAGCACUUAGGAAACUGAUUAUACUGACAGGCUAAUCAAGCAGAGUUUGUUAACUAAAUUUAUGGUAACUAUAUCACAUCUCAAGCAUUACAAAUAUGAAAAAGAGUGUGCCUUAAUCUUCUAUGUAAACAUAGUUUUCUUUUGGGCUCUUCUGAUGCCCUAAUGUUUAUAGAACCAUGUAAUAAAUCAGGACUUAUUUAUCAUAACGAACAGUAGUUCACACAGUGGUUAAAAUUGCUGUUUUCAUUAACUAUGUCAAAGAUCAAAAUAUUAUAAAGGAAGCAUUCAGAUGCAAUGACAAGAGGCGCAGUAUAUGAUCUGAAAUAAACAUGUGUUGUCAUGCACUGAUGUCUUGAACCAUAAUUACACUUCUGGGGAGCUGUCAAUACACAAGCAGAGUUUAUCACCUUCAGUAACAAUUGUGAGCUGGAACAGCUUUAACAGCAUCACAGCAUGGCUGAGGUUGGCAGGGACCCUUGGGUCCAUCUGCUCCAACCCCUGCUCUGGCAGGAAAACCCCAAGCAGGGUGCCCAGCACCACGUCCAGAUGGCUUUCCUUGAAAGCAGAACUGUCUGAAUGCACUCAGUCCCUGAAGCUGGGCUGUAUCAGAACACAACGCAUUAAACCAGCAAAAGAAGUUAAAUGGUAAAAAAGUUCAAAAUCAGUCUUACCUGAAACCCAUCAUAUCCUAAGGAGGCAAGUUCUUUUCUCCCAUCCAGCCCUUUAACUUCAGCUUUUCCCUGAAUCAACAGGUUAUGUGCCUAGACCCAACCACCUCUACCUGUUAGCCCCUGCCUUUCUCUGCUUCAUUUCUCAUGGAUGCCUUAGAUGUCAUUUCUUGCUAUGCACCAGCUACUGUCUGUCUCUCCAAAGUGCUUCUGUCUGUAGGUUGAUCAAGUACUGAGAGCUACUGUGCUCUACAGUGACAGUUCGCUGCAAGGACUGAUUAGAAAUUCAAAAAGGCAAUAAAAGCACAGUGAUUUUGAUGAAAUUCUAAUAAGAGCAUGCAUUUCUGCUUGUUUUGACUAUGCUCCGUUCUCAUCUUUAAGGAUAUUUGAAUAGCUACAGAAGUUGAUACACUUUUCACCGGUGUACGGUUGCAUUAAUCACGCUUUUGCCAUCCAGCUACUCUGUGGUCUUGUGCAAUUCAUUUCACACUCUGAACUUGUUCCCAACCUUUUCUUUCUUUCUUAUUUUUUCUGCUUAUACAGCGAUCUGGCGUUUGAUAUAUGUUUGAGAAAUGCCUGGUACAUUUUGGCCUUGAUAUUGGAUGGGUCUCCUACGAACUGCUGGAAUAUUGUCACUGUCAUCCUCAGCCAUGCUGGGUGGUUUUUGAUCCAUUGUCCCACAGUAUGUCUGAAGGUCAACGUGAACUCUGAAAGGAGUCAGACACAGCACUGACAUAUAUGAACAAUAGUUGCUCUGAAAUCUCUGGGAGUUUUGUGUACAUCUGAGGGCAGAGUUCGGGCCAUAAAGUUUAAGUACAAGCAUCUGGGCACAAUUUUCUCCAGUGAGCAGGAUUCCAAGUUACUGUAACAUCUGCUGUGGGAACUAUAAGUACUUUAUAUUAAUGUUUUACACUGUGUUAGCUAUAAUCACCUUUUUUUAUAGGAAAAAUUUAGUCAUCUCCACCUGGUGAUUCCACUGAUGUGGGCACCUGUCUGCUAGGAAUCGGGCUGAGACCAUAAAUGCAUUUCACACAAGCAAUUGAAGGGCUAUGAGACAGUAAUCUCUUUAGGUUAUAAUUUUCAAGUAACCCAUGCACAGUUUGGUCUUUCUGGGGGGAGUAUUUUUUGUUGCUUAUUUGUUUGUUGGUUUUUUUGUGUGUUUGUGAUUGUUGUUUUUUUCCAGCACAAGAUCAUUUUCAGAUAAGCUCCCAUUUCUCCAUGGGGAUUUGGUUAGCUCUUCAUACUUCAUACUUUGGCAAACUGUUUGGCAAAGAGAUGAGAUGACAAAUGCGCUCACACAUAGAAAAGGAGAGAAUCUUGAGCAGUGCUGUUUGUCCUUAGCCCCCACAGAAAGCAGAGCAAUACUCCAAAACCUAUUAUUUUCUUUGAAUUGAUCGCUUACUUAUAUAUGUGAGUGUAUAACUAGUAAAGAUGUUUUCCAAUAACAUCAGUAGUGUUUUAUCUGUUUUUCUGUGCUCGCUGUCAAUCUCAUUUAUGUAUAUGGCCCUGAUUAAGGAGCUCCUGACUACCUUUUGAACGGAAAGCUAAUUUUUCUCCUAUAUCCAAUCAAGAGAAUAGAGAAAAGAAGCAAACAGCCCAUGCUCAGAUGUAUGCUGCCAUUUAUAGACUGCUGUUGGUAUUUCACUUAGAUGAAAAGAAACUGGAAUUAUGCACUGUUACCUGCAGUUUUACUGCAGUUGUGAAAUAUCAUUAUAAUAAAAUAUAGGCUUUAUUUGAAUUAUAGAUGGAGAUAUAUACAGUUAGUUAUAUAUUUUAACGGGAUAUAUUUUAGCUGGACAUAUUUUACAUAAAAAUAAGUCUUCUGAGAAUCUUCUUAUUGGUGGAGGAAUAUUUCACCUCUACUGCUUCGAUGCUCAUUUUAGUUUGAAAACUACCAUAAAGGCAUAAUAUUCAGUUGGAUUUUUUAUCUAGUUCUUACUGUCUGGCCUGUGGAAAAUGAGUGAAAGAGAAGUAAAGUUUAUCUUUUCUUGUAUUUUUUUUUUAUUUUUAUUUUUAUUUUUGUGAUACAGUGUUAAUAACCAGCACAUCAUUCCCUAUUAGCAGUAAGAAUAUGUUUAUGAAAACUGAUGAGGAUUCACUCCAUUCAGUACAAAAGUAAAUCAGGCACCAGGUUAGUCAAUGCAAAAUGCUACAGCAUCUUGAUACAGUACCAGUGCAGUGUCAACAGAAAGGUAAAAAGUAUGGAUAUACAUGUAUUAUGCAUAUUAACAGAAUCUGUAAGACAGAAUGUCCAAAUCCCAGCAUUGUAUUAAAAAGCCAUGCAGGAAUCUUUAUGCCAUCAGUAAAGAAGAAACAAGUGAGCAACUUCAAUCUCCCCUGAAUGAACCCCAGUAGGAACCUCCUAGAGACAGAAUAAACCUCCUGUAGAAGAGUGGUGUGCAAGGCCAUGUGCCUGCAGAAUCCCAAGGAGAAAUUCCUCUCUCUGCUUUCAGUCGUAACUCUCAGGUCGCGGUACUUAAAUGGCUUGCAGUUUUGCCUUCUUGGAUCAACAUCAAUGCACUAUCAGAGGGUUUUAAUCAUGUGCUAUUUGUUUGAAAAGUUGCAAAGCCCAGUGUCAGAAGUGCUUUUAAAAUUUGCCUCUGAAUCAGGGGUUAGCAGGCAGGAUACCAACAUAGCUGAAAAAGGGUGGCUUGCUAAAGUGAACCCAGAGCCAAUAAGGGGUAUAAUUUUCCUCUGCUUGUGAUUUUCUUCCUGCUGAUUCCAGCUCCAGGCAUUGAGAUGGACUGAUGAAUGCAUGUUUUUGCUGGAUAAGCAGGUAGGGAAGUCACAGACAAAAAAUUCCACAGAACCUUUAUUUUUACCAUACUCAAGUUGUUGCUAAGGAAUAGGUUUUCUUCCAUGCAAAGUAAAAUGAAAUUGAAUAGAUUCAAAUUCUCCAGCUUAAACUGCACGUUAUUAACACUGGCUAAGAAAAGCCCUAAUUUUCUGGCACCUUCAAGCAAUAUGCCUUCAAAAGGAAAAUUUAAUAACUUGCAUCUUACCACAAGAAUGGACCGUAAGUGGUAUUGCCAAUCAACAGCUUUAAGCCCUUUGGUUGUUUGGAUGUGAAUGGCCUACAAGAAUCUUUCUGGAUUCACCAGCGUUGUGGGAACCUUCCACUUACACUUGGCUUGGGAAGUGUGAAUUCUUAUUUUGCAAAGAGCCUGGGGAUGUUGCCAAAGCUAAUAUUCUGGGGUCCAUAUGUGUUAAGUGACCGGCAAUUCUGGAAUACAGCAUCAGGGAGUCAAAUGGGGGAAGCCUCUCUGAGAUACUUCAGCCAAGUAAAGGAAUUUGAGUUUUUUCAAGAAUAAAGUUAAAGCAGAGGAAUGGCCAAGAACAGAAUAUUUGAAUUUUGGAAAAAUUUAAGACAAGAGAACUUUUGUCCAGGCUAUGUGCAUCACAAGCUGUACUGGGGGUUCGUUUUUACAACAAUUAUCUGUUCUGUGCUAAAUGAUCUGCACUUGUUUUAACGACUGUAUAAUAUGAAAAGUCACUGCCCUCAGGACUGUGACCUCUGUGGCCAUGAGAAGGCACAUCUGCUACUAAAAUUUUUCUACAUCCAUUGGAAUGACUAUGUGCCAUAUAGUGCUAAAAUCCUACCAAACAUUUACAGGUGGUAGAUGCUCAUUCAUUGGAUAUCAAGGAUAUAAAUCAUCAUUGUAUACAUUCCAAUAUUUUGCCAGGAUCUGGAUAACACUAAAAGAAAAAAAAAGAAGAAAUUCUUUUAGUUUUUUUCUUUCACAGUUGUCCACCAAAACUCUAGAAGCCUGUAGCAUACAAACAGCAGCUCUGAGGAAUAUCUUCAAAAUGAAAUUUAAAUGAUUCCAUCUCUUUUUCAUAGCAGUUAAUUUAAUCAUACAUGGAUUAUUUUCAAGGGAGCUUGAUGGUAAUACCCACUGUAGAGUUCAUUGCUUUCCUGGCUUCCAGGAAAGGUAAAUUGUUCUUAGAAAAACAAUAACAAAUAUUAAUACUAUGCCUGAGAUUAUUCCAUAAUGCUGAUAAAAGCAGAGCAGAGCAAAGAAAGAAUACAGUCAGAGGCAAAUACUGGGAAUUGGGUAAGAAGAACCGCUACUUAUAAGAAUAUUGUACAAACACAUUUUGAAAUGAAGAGCUGCUUGGAUUUGAAAGAAAUGUUUGUGAAUCUUUUUUUAUUGUAUCAACAAAUCCUGUUUAUCUAAGUGCUUCCAGGUUAUGAGCAAAAAAGCUCAUGCACACUUCAAAUCAUAAAUCCAGUAACUGUUCAAUAAUAUUAAUGAAUACACAUUGGGCACGAGUUGCAAUUCUGGCCAUGUUAAGUAGACAGGAACAAAGGAAAUCAGAAUUUCAAGAACACUUCUGUGUAAGUACUGCUUCUAAACAUAAAUCAGCUUUUCCCUGGCACUACAAUGUGGCACUGUACAAAAAUAGGCUAUACACAUUCCAUUUGUUAAAAUAGUAUUAAAUGUAAAUACAAAAGGAGAUUAUUUUUUUCGGCAGUCUUUUUCAUUAACUGAAAACAAUAAUCAGGAAAAAAAAUCGAUUUGAUUUUGCUCACAUUUAAUGGCCUUCCAUUUAACUCUGUAAAAAGUAAUCACAAAAGUGAUCACAAAAUUUGGGAGUAUAUAGACCAUGUUAAAAUAUUGCCAUGUGAACUAUCUAUUAGGUAAUAUGGUAAAUGUCAGUGCAACAGCCUUAUGCUGAGUAUUUUGUUCCUUAGACUUUCACGGUUGAAUUACUUUGGCUGCUUUUAAAGUGUGAUGCUACCUAAUGCCAGUAAAUAUAUACUUACAAUAAAGUCAACCAAGUCCUAGUAAAUGGUGUUCUCACUUACACCUAGGUUCUCAAAUAAAAGGCAAAUUAGCUUUUAAUAAAAUUACACCAGAAUAUGCCAGUUAUUCACCUUUCUCUUCCAGGCCUUUGUUGUGUUUGGAUACUUAACCUAUAGUGUUUUAUCAGAAUAAUGUCUGUUCUCCAACAACGCAUGCUAAAAAUGUCUGCUAUUAUCCUCGUUUGCUAUUCUCUGAUAAUGCAGCUUGACUUGAAUACUGAAGCUGGCUGCUUGUUUAUGAUCAUGCACAGGCUGACCAGCUCUUUGAAAUGAGUAUUUCCCCUAAUAUACAGGAAAGAUUGACUGGUCUUUAAUUGUCAUUAGAAAACAAGUAGCAAGGUGAUCCAUGGAAUGGAAUAUCUCUCCUAUGAGGACAGGGUGAGAGAGCAGGGGCUGUUCAGCCUGGAGAAGGCUGUGAGGUGACCCGAAACUGGCUCUUCAAUAUACAGAAAAGAAGGGGACAGACUCUUUAGCAGGGGCUGUGGUGAUAGAACAAGGGGAAAUGGUGUCAAGCUUAAAGAGGGUAGAUUUAGGUUAGAUAUAAGGAAAAAGUCUCUUACAGUGAGGGUGGCAAGGCACUGGAACAGAUUGCCCAGAGAUGUGGUGGAUGUUCUGUCCCUGGAGACUUUCAAGGCAACGCUGGAUCAGGACCUGGGUAACCUGAUCUAGCUGUGAUGUCCCUGUUCAUUGCAGGGGAGCUGGACAAGAUGGCCUUCAGAGGUCCCUUCCAACUGUAAGAAUUCUAUGAUCCUACACACUUUGGUCCCUGUCUCCCAUCCCCUUUCAGUCAUCACCUGUUUCCCUGCUGCUUGUUUCCUAGCUCUUCCUGCUCUCACAACACUUUCUCUUAUAUUCUUUUAAUCCUCAUUUUAGCUGAUAUGACUUCUUGCUAUUUAGAAUCAUAGAAUUCUAAACAGGGACAGGGCAUGCACCACAUCACUGGGCAACCUGUCCCAGUGCCUCACCACCCUCUCUGCAAAAGACUUUUCCCUUAUAUCUAACCUAAAUCUCCCCUCUUUAAGCUUUUCCCUCUCUCAUGAAAUUAGAUCCUGGAUGCUUUGCUGUAUUCUUUCUUGUGUCUUUGCACAUUCCUCCCUCACUAUUACCUGGCAUUUCUGGCCUCAUCCUGCCUCUGACCUCUGCACACAGCUUUUGUUUUCCCAUCUUGCUCUUGAUUAUUUAGCAACACCUUCAUUUAAGCUGGUUCACAUCCUAGUUUCCUUUUACAAGCAUCUGAGAAAAAGCUGGAGUGCUAAUGGGAGAUAACUAGACAUUUUUGGCGUAACAGUCGCAAGUGAUAUGGUUUCGGAACUUCUGGGUAGGUCCUGUUUUUUCCUCAUGUGCAAUACUUGAAUUCUCUUCAGUAUUAAGUACUGCCUGAGUUUGAGUACAUUGGUGUGAAAAGCAUAAAUGCACUGGAGUUAUUCUUCAACCUGCUCUAACACAUUACCUGUCUGUUCUUAGUCUGGUUUUCUCAACAAAAGGGAACUAUAAGACACUGGACCUGAUGAACAUUAUGAUUAAUUAACUAACUAAUCUGUCCUGUUUAACAAUGUAAGCAUAGCUCAUAGAAUGCACUAAAUGAACUUAAACCUCAUUUCCUAAGAAAACUCUCACUGUGUCAAAGAUAACAGCUCAUCAGAGUAUUAGUAGAAAAAUUCUGGAGUAGUUGGACAAAUGAUGAAAGAAACUUCACUGCAAAUGUGAGAUUAAAUUAAUAAAUGCAAGAUUGCAAGAACCGCCCUGGAAAAACUUUGCUAUUAAUUUCUGGCAGUAGGAUUUCAUCCAUCUUUAAGUGUUACAUGUUUGCACAGCAUGAUAACUUCAAACAUCUUCGGUGCUAUGAACAGCGAUGACAAUGUGUCUAAGAGGGCUUGAGGGACUGUCUGGGUCACAUCUCUUCUAAAACUAACAAAUAGAAUCUCUGGAUUUCCGUUGAUCAGUUAUGGCUUGAAUGAUUUGUUUGUUCCAAUGGAUUUUUUAAUUAUUAUUAUUUUACUAUUUUUUGAGGAUCAUGAUUCACUCCUGCCUGUGGCUGAAUGAUGUCUGUAAAGAAAGAGGAUUUGGAGCAUUCCUGGCAGUGAAUUUGUAAAUAAGCCGCAUUUUCUCUGCAUGAACCUUCCAUUGCUGGACUCUCUGACAGUGAAAUUUCUCUCUCUUUGUUCUAGUGCUCAACUUUGUCCUAUAGGAACACAGAAAAUGUAGAAUUAUUUAAAAAAAAAAAAAAGGAAAAAAAAAAGAAAGAAAAUCAACUUUUAUCUCUUGGAAGAACUACAGAGUGGUGUGUUUACUACUGUCCUUGUAAGAAUCAAUGCCUUAAAAUUUGGCAACAGGCAGAUAGUUGAAAUGCACAUGUUGGUCGCAGCAGGAAAGCUAGCAAUGGAUAAACUACUAUGUAAAAUAUGUAUAGCAAAAGUGGCAGAUCUCUUACUCUGUCUUCUUACCAUUGAAAGUGGAGUAGCCAUGUCCAGUCUACCUAAUGUGACUGCUCUCUUGACUCUUGAAAACUCCAUAAUAGGGCUCUGUGAACUGUUUAAAAGAUCUGUUUUGCCCGUAGUCUUUAACAAUUUAACCAUGCAGAUAGUUGAAAUCAAACUUCCAGGAACGGUCCUUUGUAGAAGAAGGAACCAGACAACAAUUCCUGGUAUACCCUUAGUUUUGCUCUUACCAAAUGAAAAAAAAUCCUCAUCUGAAAUGAAGACAGAAGUCCGAUAAAAAUUGUGAGUGCUGUUAAAUAUAAACUCAGGAUGCCCUUUUUGGUUUGUUUUUGGUUAGACAUUGGAGUUUUUCACUAACUUUGAUACUAAUUUUCUGCUGGUGUUUUGCUGUUCCUUAGCAUAUCUCUGAGCCACCAGCAUAGUUUUGGUUAGCAUAUGACAGUUUAAUACAUAACGAUACGUAUCAAACAUGCCUAAUGUUCAUUGUCUAAAACUCAGACAUAUGGUCCCAAUCAGUUCCUUAUAUAUUUUGGGUAGCAAAGGUAAAGGUGACAGCAUGCAUAUGGCUCAGCCUAACAUGUAGCAUAAAAAUUGAACAACAAACAAAUUCGUGUCACUCUCCUUAGUUAACUCAUUCUUCAGAAAUUUAGAAUGCUUCUACAAAGGAAACAGUGGGUGGGUUUUCAGAGAAGUUGAUGUAAACAUGCUAACAAGAGGAAUGGCCAGAAAGCAGAUGGUCUUCUGCUUUCUCAUUUUAGAGCUACUGGAUCAGGUGUUGAAAAAGCCUUCCAUCUUUCUAAUGCAAAAAUGGGAGGAAAAACAACCCUUUACAAAAACACAGAAAAGAGUAAUGGCUGCUUAUUCUGACAUCUAUCAGUAGGAAGCAUUCAAAAAAUGCAAUUCCUUUCAUGGCACUGAUUAAUAUUUCAAAUAAAUGUGUCCCAGUCAAAGGAAAUGUGUCUAUUCACAGUGGCUAUAAUUUACUGUAGAUUACUCAGGAGAAAGGCCUGGGAAAUGAACACCACUUUUCGUAAGGGCCAAGAUGUCGGCAUGAAAAUCAUUUGUAUUUACAUUCUAGCAUUUUCAUAACAUCAGACCAAGCUGAUGUUUCAAAGUAAGUGUUUCACUGGAUUGCAGCCUUUUGUUUUCCUUGGAGGCCUCCCUGCCACUAACAACAAUACAAGUGCAUGUACAGAGUAACACACACAGAGCUAGGGAAAUAAAAAAGCACAUUGCAUCCAAUUGUUAGAGAACAUCUAGGAUUAUCUGUCAUGCAAUAGCUAUGAAUAUUUAAAUGAAAAAAAAAUCAG